rnacentral:rRNA from 1 species
GAUGAACGCUAGCGGGAGGCUUAAUACAUGCAAGUCGAACGGUAACAGGAUAGCAAUAUCGCUGACGAGUGGCGCACGGGUGCGUAACACGUACACAAUCUGCCUUAUACUGGGGCAUAGCCUCGGGAAACUGAGAUUAAUUCCCCAUAAUGUUAUGAAAGGGCAUCCUUUUAUAAUUAAAACUCCGGUGGUAUAAGAUGAGUGUGCGUCCGAUUAGCUAGUUGGUGAGGUAACGGCUCACCAAGGCGACGAUCCGUAGCUGGUUUGAGAGAAUGACCAGCCACACUGGGACUGAGACACGGCCCAGACUCCUACGGGAGGCAGACAGUAAGGAAUAUUGGACAAUGGUCGCAAGACUGAUCCAGCCAUGCCGCGUGCAGGAUGAACGAUCUAUGAUCUGUAAACUGCUUUUGUUUCGGGAAUAAACCCCUUCACGUGUGGAGGGCUGAAUGUACCG